AGAUUGAACGCUGGCGGAAUGCCUUACACAUGCAAGUCGAACGGCAGCACGGGAGCAAUCCUGGUGGCGAGUGGCGAACGGGUGAGUAAUACAUCGGAACGUGCCCAAUCGUGGGGGAUAACGUAGCGAAAGCUACGCUAAUACCGCAUACGAUCUACGGAUGAAAGCGGGGGAUCGCAAGACCUCGCGCGAAUGGAGCGGCCGAUGGCAGAUUAGGUAGUUGGUGGGGUAAAGGCUCACCAAGCCUUCGAUCUGUAGCUGGUCUGAGAGGACGACCAGCCACACUGGGACUGAGACACGGCCCAGACUCCGUACGGGAGGCAGCAGGUGGGAAUUUGGACAAUGGGCGCAAGCCUGAUCCAGCCAUUCCGCGUGCGAGGAU
rnacentral:rRNA from 1 species